UGGGGAAUUUUGGACAAUGGGCGAAAGCCUGAUCCAGCAAUGCCGCGUGUGUGAAGAAGGCCUUCGGGUUGUAAAGCACUUUUGUCCGGAAAGAAAUCCUUGGCUCUAAUACAGUCGGGGGAUGACGGUACCGGAAGAAUAAGCACCGGCUAACUACGUGCCAGCAGCCGCGGUAAUACGUAGGGUGCAAGCGUUAAUCGGAAUUACUGGGCGUAAAGCGUGCGCAGGCGGUUUGCUAAGACCGAUGUGAAAUCCCCGGGCUCAACCUGGGAACUGCAUUGGUGACUGGCAGGCUAGAGUAUGGCAGAGGGGGUAGAAUUCCACGUGUAGCAGUGAAAUGCGUAGAGAUGUGGAGGAAUACCGAUGGCGAAGGCAGCCCCCUGGGCCAAUACUGACGCUCAUGCACGAAAGCGUGGGGAGCAAACAGGAUUAGAUACCCUGGUAGUCCACGCCCUAAACGAUGUCAACUAGUUGUUGGGGAUUCAUUUCCUUAGUAACGUAGCUAACGCGUGAAGUUGACCGCCUGGGGAGUACGGUCGCAAGAUUAAAACUCAAAGGAAUUGAC
rnacentral:rRNA from 1 species